rnacentral:tRNA from 1 species
GGUCAAUUGGCCGAGCGGUCUAAGGCGCCAGUUUAAGGCACUGGUCCGAAAGGCGGGGGUUCGAAUCCCACAUUGGCCA